CGGCAGCGAGGGGCUCGGAGAGGUGCUCGGAUUCUCGUAGCUGUGCCGGCCCACAAUGAUUCUGAGCUAAAACACAAAAUAAAAACCAGAUUCAUUGCCACCAGCGCUCACCUCGCCUGACUUAAAAAAAAGGUUAUGCUCCUUUAGAUCUGUAAACUCAGUCUCCUAACUGCCCUUCAUCCACUUUCUCAUGCAUCUGAAAUCCUCAUAUUUUGUAGAAGCCUGUUCUGUAAGUCUCUCUACUUUCCAGUUUCGUACAACAGACACUCCUUGACACCAAGGAUCUUUCACUUAAUCCCUCAAAAAUAAAGACUCGAGCUGGGUGCGGUGGCUCACGCCUGUAAUUCCAGCACUUUGGGAGGCCGAGGCAGGUGGAUCACGAAGUCAGGAGUUCAAGACCAGCCUGCACAAGGUGGUGAAACCCCGUCUCUACUAAAAAUACAAAAAUUAGCUGGGCAUGGUGGUGGGUGCCUGUAAUCCCAGCUACUCCAGAGGCUGAGGCAGAGAAUUGCUUGAACCCUGGAGGUGGAGGUUGAGAUCGCGCCACUGCACUCCACCCUGGGCGACAGAGCAAGACUCCGUCUCAAAAAUAAAUAAAUAAAAAUAAAUAAGUA
rnacentral:lncRNA from 10 species